GGCGGCCGCCAGCCGCGCUCCAUCUGCACAUUCUGCCUCAGCAACCAGCGCAAGGGGGGUGGCCGUCGUGAACUGGGGGGCAGCUGCUUGAAGGUGAGGGGGGUGGCCCCCCUUCGAGGGCCGCGGAGAUGAGCCUGGACCCUGGAGAAGGAGGCCGGGAGCCAGCCACUGGCUGUACAGGGAAGAAGACCCCAGGCGCCGAGCCCACCCCUUCUUUGUGUGGGGACCAGGGGACCAUGGCCUGGGUCCAGGACACUCUGGGCAGGGCCCUCGGGGCAUCUCCACCCGAUCCUGGAGAACUGUGAGGGUCCAUUCAGCCUGCGCAGCUCUGGCUGGUCAGAGACAAGGCAGAACUUUUGGAAAAACACAGACUGUUGGUGACAGAGGGUGUAUGUGUGUGUCUGUGCGUGAGUGUGAGUGUGUGUGAGAGAGAGAAUUGGUGAGUUUAAAAUAAAACCUAUUUUUAAAUAAAAGACGUCAUUCUGAGCUGAGGAGGGGGCCUGUGGACAUCGGAGGUCAGAGGUGGGCCCUCCCCUGGACUUAGAGAGAGCGGCACAGAUGUUCCAGGGGCUGCCCUGAGCCCUGGAGGGGUGGGGCUGGGGAAGACAGGCAGAGCCCCCUCUCCGGGAGCCAUAACCAAACCUUCCUCAGUCUGCUAUUUAUCAGAUGUUCUUAACAACUGUUAGGUGUCUGGUAUGGUUGGUAAAGAAAUCUUAAUUUUA